rnacentral:tRNA from 1 species
GCUCCGGUGGUGUAGCCCGGCCAAUCAUUCCGGCCUUUCGAGCCGGCGACCCGGGUUCAAAUCCCGGCCGGAGCACCA